rnacentral:misc_RNA from 1 species
UGUGUAGCGUUGCGAAUACUCUUUGCAUUUCAUAUGUUUUGAUAGUAGUUAGUGUUUAGGUUAGAAUUUUAUCGUCAUGGGAGACGGCGUGACUUGCAAAAUAGGACCAUCUGUCUUAAAUGCCGAUCUUGCUAAAUUACAUGAUGAAUCGAAGCGUCUUGUUGAUGCUGGUGCAGAUUAUUUACAUUUGGAUGUUAUGGACGGUCAUUUUGUCCCCAACAUAACAUUUGGUCAUCCGGUAGUCAAAUGCUUAAGGGCUAAGAUUCCUAAAACAUUUUUCGAAACACACAUGAUGGUUUCGAAUCCCGACCAGUGGAUAGAUCCUAUGGCAGAUGCAGGAGUAAACCAGUACACAUUUCAUGUUGAGGCUUCGGAGGACGUAAAUGAAACGUGCCGAAGGGUAAGAGAAGCAGGCAUGAAGGUUGGAGUAGCCCUGAAACCAGGCACGUCAGUUGAAGCUGUCAAGGAGUAUGUUGAUGUCGCAGACAUGGUUCUAGUGAUGACUGUGGAACCAGGAUUCGGUGGCCAAAAAUUCAUGUCUGACAUGAUGGAAAAAGUCAGAUGGUUGCGUGAAAAUUAUCCCGCACUGGACAUAGAGGUAGAUGGUGGCGUGGGACCGUCCACAAUACAGCAGUGUGCUGAGUUACAAUAUUUUUUGGCACAAAUGAAUGUAUCUUCCAAUUGAAGAGCAUGCAGAUUAAGCUGUUUGUGGAAGAGAGCACACACUUUCAGUGGGAAGGCUGAUUGGCCUGUGGAACAGGCAGGAGCCAAUAUGAUAGUCUCUGGAACUGCAAUAACAAGUGCUCCAGAUCCAAAGGACAUAAUAUCAACAAUGAGAAGUCAAGUGCAAGCAUCCAUUGAUAAAUUGAGGGUGCAAGUGGAAGUGUAAGGAUG